CUUCGUGAGAAUGGAAUUUAUAUUUAUCCGCCCAGAGAGAANNNCACGNNUGAUUAGCUUGUUGGUAAGGUAAGAGCUUACCAAGGCGACGAUCAGUAUCUGGUUUGAGAGGACGAUCAGACACACUGGAACUGAGACACGGUCCAGACUCCUACGGGAGGCAGCAGUGGGGAAUUUUCCGCAAUGGGCGAAAGCNUGACGGAGCAAUACCGCGUGAGGGAAGACUGCCUAUGGGUUGUAAACCUCUUUUUUCAGGGAGGAAUCAAUGACGUGUACCUGAACAAUAAGCAUCGCU
rnacentral:rRNA from 1 species